rnacentral:rRNA from 1 species
GACGAACGCUGGCGGCGUGCUUAACACAUGCAAGUCGAACGGAAAGGCCCUGCUUUUGUGGGGUGCUCGAGUGGCGAACGGGUGAGUAACACGUGAGUAACCUGCCCUUGACUUUGGGAUAACUUCAGGAAACUGGGGCUAAUACCGGAUAGGAGCUCCUGAUGCAUGGUGGGGGUUGGAAAGUUUCGGCGGUUGGGGAUGGACUCGCGGCUUAUCAGCUUGUUGGUGGGGUAGUGGCUUACCAAGGCUUUGACGGGUAGCCGGCCUGGGAGGGUGACCGGCCACAUUGGGACUGAGAUACGGCCCAGACUCGUACGGGAGGCAGCGGUGGGGAAUAUUAUACAGUGGGCGGGAGCGUGAUGCGGCGACGCCGCGUGCGGGAUGACGGCCUUCGGGUUGGAAACCGCUUUCGCCUGUGACGAAGCGUGAGUGACGGUAAUGGGUGAAGAAGCACCGGCUAACUACGUG